AUAAUGCAAGUCGUACGCUUCUUUUUCCACCGGAGCUUGCUCCACCGGAAAAAGAAGAGUGGCGAACGGGUGAGUAACACGUGGGUAACCUGCCCAUCAGAAGGGGAUAACACUUGGAAACAGGUGCUAAUACCGUAUAACAAUCGAAACCGCAUGGUUUUGAUUUGAAAGGCGCUUUCGGGUGUCGCUGAUGGAUGGACCCGCGGUGCAUUAGCUAGUUGGUGAGGUAACGGCUCACCAAGGCCACGAUGCAUAGCCGACCUGAGAGGGUGAUCGGCCACAUUGGGACUGAGACACGGCCCAAACUCCUACGGGAGGCAGCAGUAGGGAAUCUUCGGCAAUGGACGAAAGUCUGACCGAGCAACGCCGCGUGAGUGAAGAAGGUUUUCGGAUCGUAAAACUCUGUUGUUAGAGAAGAACAAGGAUGAGAGUAACUGUUCAUCCCUUGACGGUAUCUAACCAGAAAGCCACGGCUAACUACGUGCCAGCAGCCGCGGUAAUACGUAGGUGGCAAGCGUUGUCCGGAUUUAUUGGGCGUAAAGCGAGCGCAGGCGGUUUCUUAAGUCUGAUGUGAAAGCCCCCGGCUCAACCGGGGAGGGUCAUUGGAAACUGGGAGACUUGAGUGCAGAAGAGGAGAGUGGAAUUCCAUGUGUAGCGGUGAAAUGCGUAGAUAUAUGGAGGAACACCAGUGGCGAAGGCGGCUCUCUGGUCUGUAACUGACGCUGAGGCUCGAAAGCGUGGGGAGCAAACAGGAUUAGAUACCCUGGUAGUCCACGCCGUAAACGAUGAGUGCUAAGUGUUGGAGGGUUUCCGCCCUUCAGUGCUGCAGCUAACGCAUUAAGCACUCCGCCUGGGGAGUACGACCGCAAGGUUGAAACUCAAAGGAAUUGACGGGGGCCCGCACAAGCGGUGGAGCAUGUGGUUUAAUUCGAAGCAACGCGAAGAACCUUACCAGGUCUUGACAUCCUUUGACCACUCUAGAGAUAGAGCUUCCCCUUCGGGGGCAAAGUGACAGGUGGUGCAUGGUUGUCGUCAGCUCGUGUCGUGAGAUGUUGGGUUAAGUCCCGCAACGAGCGCAACCCUUAUUGUUAGUUGCCAUCAUUUAGUUGGGCACUCUAGCAAGACUGCCGGUGACAAACCGGAGGAAGGUGGGGAUGACGUCAAAUCAUCAUGCCCCUUAUGACCUGGGCUACACACGUGCUACAAUGGGAAGUACAACGAGUCGCGAAGUCGCGAGGCUAAGCUAAUCUCUUAAAGCUUCUCUCAGUUCGGAUUGUAGGCUGCAACUCGCCUACAUGAAGCCGGAAUCGCUAGUAAUCGCGGAUCAGCACGCCGCGGUGAAUACGUUCCCGGGCCUUGUACACACCGCCCGUCACACCACGAGAGUUUGUAACACCCGAAGUCGGUGAGGUAACCUUUUGGAGCCAGCCGCCUAAGG
rnacentral:rRNA from 1 species